UACGGGGGGUGCGAGCGUUGUUCGGAUUUACUGGGCGUAAAGGGCGCGUAGGCGGGCCCUCAAGUCGGGUGUGAAAACUGGUGGCUUAACCACCAGCCUGCAUUCGAUACUGUCGGCCUUGAGUACAGAAGAGGAAAGCGGAAUUCCAGGUGUAGCGGUGAAAUGCGUAGAUAUCUGGAAGAACACCAGUAGCGAAGGCGGCUUUCUGGUCUGAUACUGACGCUGAGGCGCGAAGGCUAGGGGAGCAAACAGGAUUAGAUACCCCCGUA
rnacentral:rRNA from 1 species